UUUUUUUUUUUUUUUAAAUCUAAGGUUAAUUUUUUUAUGUUCAGAUUAUGUUCAUAUUUAUUCUGAUGUCAAGCUUGAAGUGAUCAGGUUUUUAAAUUUUAAACAGUGUUUAUUUCUAGAAAGAAGGAAUAAUUAAGCAAAAUUCUAUAAUAAUCUCAUGACGAGGAAAUAUUAGCCAACUCUUCCUUCUUUCACUUGCGGAGAUGUCAUUUUUUUUGCAGUGUACAAAACACUGACACUGGAGACUCCUUCCAAAAAAAAAAAAAAAGAGUUAAACAUCUCAUAACAGAAAAUGUAACAAUAUCAGUGAUUACAUGCUUUUUAAAAAACAACAACAAUAACAACAAAAACGAUUGAAUCCGUUUAUGUGCAGCCGGAACUACAUUCGAAACUGCUGUUUUAGAAAAUUAAUCAACUCCUUCCUUCGUUCUAAACCAAUCAGAUUUGAGAAUUCGACAGUGCUUUGGUCUGUGUGUGCUUUAUUAAGAAGUGUGCACAUUUCCUGUUUGUGCUUGAAUAAUGCAAAUUUUCUAAGGUAUUAGGUCAAACAUCAGUACAUCUGCCAUGUGGUUACACUUUGUACGUUACGUGCGCGCACUGCUCCACUCCCUGUCACAGAUUGCUGGUGGUCAUGUAGUCGGGAUGAUGUUUUCUACUGAGCAAAGCCUAAUCAGCAUUGUAGCAGGUGUAGCUUCUACACCACUCCUAAUCCGAAAUUUGGAAUAUUGGUUAUCCCAGGGUUUGCUAACGUAUGUGCGAGUGUGUCGACGGUUUUAUAGCUCAUCUAUAAGGAAAAGUUCCGUGUACUGUAAGUGUCCAAGUCUGAAGUUGGAGAUCGUGGAAGAAGAAUGCAUCAUAGGUCAACCCUGCUGAUCUCAUUUUUUAAAUUUUUUUAUUUUAAAUCUGAUUUAUAAUUAAACCAAAAAAAAAAAACAAAGAUAAAAGAUUCCCAUUUGGUUCAGAAUUCAGCUGGUUUUACGCGAUGUGGAAUUAAUAAUGGUGUGUUGUCCAGACUCCUUUGAUCUUUGCACUGAUUCAGGUGGAGAACUGUAAAGGCUUGUGAUGGUGCUUCAGUGUUGUACAGCCGGAAUAUGCCGUGUCUGGUGUACCUGUUCAACUCGAACCCUGGUUUUGUUUAUUUGUGCUCUUCUCAUGAAUGUUAACUAAAUUAAAACCCCAUUUCCAAACCAAUGAUUUGCGAGGGAAUGCUUUGUGUGUGUUGUAUGCGUGUUUCGCAUUAUUGGCAAACCAUGUGACUAAAUGAAAUGGACGCUGUGAUCGCUAUCUGUUUGCACUGCAAGAAUAAGCAAGACACAAUAUCUUCAAUAUAGGCAACUCUAUUUAAGUUAUAGUCUGUAACUCAACUAAUAUUUUUCUUAGAUUUAAAAAAAAAAAAAAAAAAAAAAACAUAUACAAGAUUGUUAACUCUUACUUCUAGCUUAGCAUUGUCUCAUUCUAUUGGCUGACAGAUAUUUUGGCUUCUUUCUAUAAAUAAUCACUUGAAAUGACCCCAAAUGAUCUGCCAAUAGAAUUAAGACUAUAAUAGAAUUUGUUUAUAUGUCUAGAAAUAGCUUUAAUGAUGUUGUACGUCUUAUAUAAUGAGCUUGUAUUGAGGAAUAUUAGCUAACAUACAAGAUGUCUCGCAGUGUAUUGUCCCAAAUAUUCAUGUCUGUAUCUGCACAGUUGAAAAAAACAAAGACAUCAUCGUAAAAAUAGAAGUAAAAAAAAAAAAAAAACCUUGAAUUAAUUGAAGUAAUUUUUCUAGUAUUGAUUACGAUAAAACAAAUGUAAGAUUAUUAAACUCAUUUGUAGGCCUUUUAAAACAAAUUCUAAGCUUUAAGUUUUGCUUAAACUCAAAUAUUAAAAAAAUGUAAUUAGUGAAAUGAUGUGCCAAUAGAACAAAAGGGAUACUGAAAUGAGUAAAGACGUGUAUUGUAAACCUAUAAUAGGAAACGGUAGAUAAAUGACUGAGGGAUUAAUCAUUUAGAAUAUUAUUUAAAUAUUUUUACUUCUAUGUUCAAAUUUUUUUACAGUGCGGAUACGGAUUCGAAUAUUUGGAACUUUUGGAUUUUUGACUAUAUUCGCUUACUAAGAUGGGCGUGGCCUAAACCAGAAAAUCGAUAUUUUUUUUGUUGUUUUUUGAACCCUGCCACUACAUAUGAAGUAGAAACACUGUAAAAUACUGCAGGGAAAAAAAUUACAGAGGUAGAAAUGCCAGCACUAUCAGCAUGUCGUCGUGAACAAACACGCAGUUUGUGCUGCGAGUUUCGCAGGAUCCCAGAAGAUCCCACAGGAUCCCAGAAAGAUCCCAGAGAGAUCCCAGAAAAUCCCACAGGAUCACCAAGAUCCCGUAAGAUCCCACGGGAUCCCGGAAAGAUCCCAGAAAAUCCCACAAAGAUCCCACAAGAUCCCAGAAAGAUCCCCAAAUCCUACAGGAUCCCACAGGAUCCCAGAAAGAUCCCAGAAAAUCCCACAGGAUCCCACAAGAUCCCAGAAGAUCCCACAGGAUCUGUGCUCCGAUGCUCACCUUUAAUUCCAACGAGAUACGGCGUGAACGUUUUCUGGCAAGUUACUCUGAAUAUAAUUAAUAAAGUAAAUAAAUAAAUAAACAACAAUGAUAUUACUGCACUUCUUAUUGGUAUCUGUAUUUGUUAUCUAUUCUAUCAUUCUCUAUUCAAUACAAGUUUACAUAUCCAUUUGAUCCUUGGCUGAUUAUUAUUUAUUUUUUCUGUCUCCCCAGAUCAACUUACAUUCGAGGCCUUAAUUAAGGAUUAAGGGUCUUGCUUAUGAACCGAACAGUCGCAGCUUGUCGGUGCUGGGGUUUGAUAUGAUGUCCUUUCCCUCAACAAACCUCGCCUUCUUUUUCCCCUGUGUGUCCAUUGCUGCUGAUAUUUCACCUGUGUAUGUGUGUGUGUAUUCACUGCUGGUGAUGCUUCUCUCACCUGUCUUUAACAUCAUGUCACGACUGGACAUCUGGGACAAAUCUGACCCGCAGACACGUUCGGCAGACGGUCCUCCGAUUCGCACGUCGCACACCUAUUCCAGUCACAGGUAUGUUAUAUGCGCAUCUGUGUAUGUUUGCUAUUGAGAAUGAAUGCAAAGAGACAACGUCAGGUCAAGAAUGUAUGUUUAACACACAUCUGCUGAACACACACACACACACACACACCUUUCCCUAUUAAAAGUCACUGUCACUCGUGCCCAGCUUGGCUUGCUGACUGCACAAGUGCAAGCAUUUGUCAACACAGCAGCUGGUGCACAAUGCCCUCUUGUAGCUUUAUGCCAUAGCAUAUGCCUGCCAUGCAAUAUGUGCUAAUUUAGCCCUGUGCUGCUACCUAUACCAACAGAUGGAGCGCUGCAUUGUCAUUCUCACCCCCAACCCCAAGCCUCAGGGGGAAGACAAGAAAUAAAAAACCACGCAUAUGGAGCUUGAUGUCGCUAUGCAAUUGGGAGAAUUUAUGAUAAAUACAAAGCUGUCCUUAAUACACAGGGCUUCAGGAAUGCAGUCUUAAGCCUUCUGGACUUUAAACUAACUUUUAACGUGACGUAUCGUGGCAUUACGUCGGGGUCGUCACAUCCGCAGAAUGGAUGUGAGUAGAUAUAAUAACAGGAAUAUUUUACACUUGUACUGUACAGGCUCAUCUCGGUGUGUGAUUACAGUCAGUAGAGGUGGUUUUAAGGGCCCAGACGUCCUCUUGACUCUCUCCGGAGAUCACAGUGGAUCUUUCUUUUGUCUUUUCUUUUGUCCACCUUGAGACAGAUUUCAGUUACACCACUCUGUCUUCUCUGUAAGUUUGCUCAUUGUCGUUGCUGAUGAUACUGAACACUGUAGUGUCCUGAUGUAGUUUAAGUAUAUAUAUAUAUAUUUUUGCAGUCUUUAGCGUGAACAGCAGUGGACCGAGUGUACAGCCCUGAGGGAUGCCGGUGUUGCCGGUGGUAGUGUUGCUGAUCCUGAUUAGUGACUAGUGUUCAGGCCCUGCAGGUCCGAUUUCAACUUCCGUAAACAGUAGGGCUGUACCCUCAUACCAAUACAUUAUUCUGAUUGAACACAUGAUGCGUUGUAAAUGAAUGCAAAUGCAGAUGCAAUUACAAGGAAAGAAAAGUUCCACUAGCAGGAGGGUUUUUUUUUUAUUUUUAAAAACUUCGUUUCAGGUGUAGUCAAGCAGUCAGACACGAAGCUCAAAUAAAGACCGUGAUUAUUAUUAUUAUUAUUAUUAUUAUUAUUAUUAUUAUUAAUGCGAAUGUACGGCGCAGUGUGACGCAUUUACAGCCUCUGUCCUAACAGCAAGGGUUUAAAUUAGACUCCUAGUUUGUUUACAUUUCGCGAAACAGAACCAGUUACAGAAAAUAUUUCAGGCAGGUAUUAAAAAAGCAAAAACAAACAGGUCCCAUGCAAAUUUCUUGAGUGGUGUAGCCCAGGCUACACCCACGUUAAUCCGGGUAGAUCCGAAAAGCGCAGCUGUAAAACACUCUUCGUCUUCUACGCUGGCGUUUUCAAACGUUUUCCAAAAGUUCCUCGUUCACGCACGCUGAAACGUCUGAAAACGCUCGCAUCCCCAUACUGCGUAGGCGUAUAAACAUGAGACGCUUUGCUCCGCGUCAUUUCCGUCGGGCGUUUAUUUAAACAUGCGAUCUGAAGGUUGUGCAAAGUGACAUUAAUCGUUAACAAAGCUAUCAAACUGUAUAGCAUUCACAACAGCUUCAGUACAACAUCGUCCGACGGCGUGUCCGUGUUGAGUCGAACGGGUCACGUGACUAAAAAUACGUCGUCGUUUUCUAAUAUCUCCGAAUAUCUCUGGCGUUUUCGAAUUUAAUUACUUGGGGUAGCGUUUUCAAAAAGCUUCGUUUUCGCCGCUUCGGUGUGGAGGGAAAGCCGAAACGCAGAGGAAACUUCACCCUGGUUUAUGUAGACGUAGCCUGACGUGCUUUAACUACAUAAAUAAACAGACAAACAAAUAAAUAAAUAAAACACCGAUGUACCAGGCUAUGUUACGAAAAAAAAAAAAAGCGUGUAGUGUUUAUUUCCUUUUGUUUGAUCAAUUAAAAAUCCAUUUGCCAGGUAUUUUAAUUUGAAGACGGAGAGGCGACCCACUUACUAACGGAAUAUACACCAGUAGGCGUGUGUGCGUGUGUGUGUGUGUGUGUGUGCGUGCAUGUAUAUGCGUGUGUGUCUUGAUUCUGAGCUUUUUAACACGUAAAAAAGACUGAAUUGCACAUGCUACAUGUGUAUCUGUUCUAAAAACACGCUAAUAAUACAGGGACUAGCUGCAAGCUGCGCUAUGCGAUUUGGUUAAUUGGCUCGUAGCAUAGAAAUUCCGUCAAACCGACUUCCUGAGGAGGGAAAAACAAACACAUCGUACAAUGACCGUCUUUCGCUUUAUCACCUUUAAAGGAAAUCACCGUUUUCCUGUUGUCUGAGUGAAACUCUUUCGGUCGACCGGUCGUGUUCGGAUGAAACAAUUUCAAGCCAAUCAUCGGUAACACAAUGCAGCGCUCGGAUUUGCUUUAACUCCGUCUGAUAGCAGCUUUCGCGCUCGGCCUUCAGAACUCCAGUGAUUAUCUGGAUUACGUCGAGGUGGUCAAGAUUGAUAAACGGCAUUAACUCGGCUGCUGUGUGUUUAGCCGGCUGGUCUGGAAAGUUUUUCCCACCGCUACGACGUAAUGUCUGCGAUUUGGCUUAAAUCUGUUCUUCCCUGAAUCUAAAUUGAAACGUAUUACUCGCCUGUGAAAGGAUCUGCUUCGCGGUAAAGAUCAUGAUUUAGAGUUUUAUAGACGACGUUACAAUCCAAAUAAAACGGCACAGACAUGUGACAAAUUAAAGGAAAAUAUAACCCCCUGGCUCUAUUAUGAUGUGGGAGGCGGAUGUUUGUUUGUUUUUUUUUUUUUUUUUUCUGGUGUGGUUUGAAUCCACUUAGAGGGAAGCAUCUGCAAAUCACCUUUAUCCUAUGAUGAAACUUUACUAUCCUGGUGGGCGUGGUCUCUCAAAUUGAACACAAUGAACUUGGCGAUGAAGAAGUAAAUCCUUUCUAAUCUGGACGUUCUUUCUUCACGUUGUAGUGAAGGAAGAUCAAGGCGAGAGAAGGAGAAGAUGGAGAGAUGAGAUGAGAGGAGAGGAGAGGAGAGAGCAGGGUACUAUAAGACGGGAAAUAGAGCACACUGAGGAGAUCUAUGAAGAGGAAUAGAUAACAGGAUGGAGAGAAGAGAGGAAAGGAUAUAGAUUAAGAUAUAGAUUUGUUCUGGAUGCAUGCGGUUAUAGGAAAAUAGUCAGUGAGAGUUAAGAGCAGUUACUAAUGCCACCGCAACGUGGCGUAUUUUUCGAUGACAUCACAUCCUGAAAGCGUUUUAUUCCUCUUAUACCACAGUAUUUUGCCUUGUGAACUACGUCUUAGAACGAGCGCAUUAAUAUAACCUGAGCUGUACUGUCAGACUAAGUUAAUCAACACCUUCGGACCAAUCAGGUUCGAGAAUUCAUCAAUUCAUCAUCAUGAGAAUUUCAACUUUAUAUUCAAAAUGAAAAGGAUCGUCCAUGUUUAGGAAUAUUAUAAGAAAAUAAA
ensembl:lncRNA